rnacentral:rRNA from 1 species
ACGGCAGACUAGAGUGAUGUAGGGGAGACUGGAAUUCCUGGUGUAGCGGUGAAAUGCGCAGAUAUCAGGAGGAACACCGAUGGCGAAAGGCAGGUCUCUGGGCAUUAACUGACGCUGAGGAGCGAAAGCAUGGGGAGCGAACAGGAUUAGAUACCCUGGUAGUCCAUGCCGUAAACGUUGGGCACUAGGUGUGGGGGACAUUCCACGUUUUCCGCGCCGUAGCUAACGCAUUAAGUGCCCCGCCUGGGGAGUACGGCCGCAAGGCUAAAACUCAAAGGAAUUGACGGGGGCCCGCACAAGCGGCGGAGCAUGCGGAUUAAUUCGAUGCAACGCGAAGAACCUUACCAAGGCUUGACAUGAACCGGAAAGACCUGGAAACAGGUCCCCCACUUGUGGUCGGUUUACAGGUGGUGCAUGGUUGUCGUCAGCUCGUGUCGUGAGAUGUUGGGUUAAGUCCCGCAACGAGCGCAACCCUCGUUCCAUGUUGCCAGCGCGUAAUGGCGGGGACUCAUGGGAGACUGCCGGGGUCAACUCGGAGGAAGGUGGGGACGACGUCAAAUCAUCAUGCCCCUUAUGUCUUGGGCUUCACGCAUGCUACAAUGGCCGGUACAAAGGGUUGCGAUACUGUGAGGUGGAGCUAAUCCCAAAAAGCCGGUCUCAGUUCGGAUUGGGGUCUGCAACUCGACCCCAUGAAGUCGGAGUCGCUAGUAAUCGCAGAUCAGCAACGCUGCGGGA